rnacentral:rRNA from 1 species
GAUGAACGCUGGCGGCGUGCCUAAUACAUGCAAGUCGAGCGAACAGACGAGGAGCUUGCUCCUCUGACGUUAGCGGCGGACGGGUGAGUAACACGUGGAUAACCUACCUAUAAGACUGGGAUAACUUCGGGAGACCGGAGCUAAUACCGGAUAAUAUAUUGAACCGCAUGGUUCAUUAGUGAAAGACGGUUUUGCUGUCACUUAUAGAUGGAUCCGCGCCGGAUUAGCUAGUUGGUAAGGUAACGGCUUACCAAGGCGACGAUGCGUAGCCGACCUGAGAGGAUGAUCAGCCACACUGGAACUGAGACACGGUCCAGACUCCUACGGGAGGCAGCAGUAGGGAAUCUUCGGCAAUGGGCGAAAGCCUGACGGAGCAACGCCGCGUGAGUGAAGAAGGUCUUCGGAUCGUAAAACUCUGUUAGUAGGGAAGAACAAAUGUGUAAGUAACUAUGCACGUCUUGACGGUACCUAAUCAGAAAGCCACGGCUAACUUCGUG